rnacentral:rRNA from 1 species
UACGUAGGGGGCAAGCGUUGUCCGGAUUUAUUGGGCGUAAAGAGCGUGUAGGCGGCCAGGUAGGUCAGCUGUGAAAACUCGAGGCUCAACCUCGAGACGUCGGUUGAAACCACCUGGCUAGAGUCCGGAAGAGGAGAGUGGAAUUCCUGGUGUAGCGGCGAAAUGCGCAGAUAUCAGGAAGAACACCCGUGGCGAAGGCGGCUCUCUGGGACGGUACUGACGCUGAGACGCGAAAGCGUGGGGAGCGAACAGG